rnacentral:lncRNA from 1 species
CACAGCCGAAUCAUGACAGCAGAGCCACUGUGGAAUUACACUUUGGCGCAUGAGUAGCACAGUUGGUUGAAGUUGCCAACUUUCGGGAGACUAUCAGCAGACUUGGUGGAGACGGAGCUGGUGGCUUUUCCCCUUCUCAUUACCCUUGAUUGGAUGAACACUUGGUUCAACAAGUGACUUCGAAGGAAAGAGCCUCCUCGCUGGUCUCCCUGCUGCUGUUUGAUGGACACAGACUGAACGUGUGUGUCCCCCUCCUUCACAGGCUGGAGCCCUAACGCCCCACUUAGUGGCAUUUGGAGACGGAACCUCCAGGAGGUGACUGAG